AUAAUCUGCAGAAAGAAAGUUUCCAUUUCAAUCUCCCUUUAUCAGAAACCCUAGCAGUUCUAAUUUUAAAUGCUCUGCAGUUUGUUUGGAGAAUAUUAAAGACUUACAAACACACAUCUCUGUUGUGAUUGAACUAAAUUUAGAACUCAAAAUGAGGGAAUGCUGUAUCACUAAUGAAAUGGUUUCUGUGUUUCAUACCAGAUUGCGAAGAACUUCAAAAGGACCGGAAUAUUUUAAAAAGCGAGAAGAAUAAACUGGGAAAAGAAAAAGAGGAUCUAAAAAGAGAGAACGAGAGACUGGGAAAAGAAAAUGGGGGACUUCUGGAGCAAAAUGGCAAGAUUAAUACAUUCAUCUCAUUCUUUUUAUUAAAUUACUUAAAUUAUUGUAUUCAUGAGCAAGAACACAAACUAAACUUUCAUUUUUUCUGUUUUAGACAUUUUAAAAAGGGAGAAAGAGAGACUGGGAAAAGAUUGCGAAGAACUUCAACAGGACCGGAAUAUUUUAAAAAGCGAGAAGAAUAAACUGGGAAAAGAAAAAGAGGAUCUAAAAAGAGAGAACGAGAGACUGGGAAAAGAAAAUGGGGGACUUCUGGAGCAAAAUGGCAAGAUUAAUACAUUCAUCUCAUUCUUUUUAUUAAAUUACUUAAAUUAUUGUAUUCAUGAGCAAGAACACAAACUAAACUUUCAUUUUUUCUGUUUUAGACAUUUUAAAAAGGGAGAAAGAGAGA